AUUGAACGCUGGCGGCAUGCCUUACACAUGCAAGUCGAACGGUAACGCGGGGCAACCUGGCGACGAGUGGCGAACGGGUGAGUAAUGUAUCGGAACGUGCCCAGUUGUGGGGGAUAACUGCUCGAAAGAGCAGCUAAUACCGCAUACGACCUGAGGGUGAAAGCGGGGGAUCGCAAGACCUCGCGCAAUUGGAGCGGCCGAUAUCAGAUUGGGUAGUUGGUGGGGUAAAGGCCAACCAAGCCAACGAUCUGUAGCUGGUCUGAGAGGACGACCGGCCACACUGGGACUGAGACACGGCCCAGACUCCUACGGGAGGCAGCAGUGGGGAAUUUUGGACAAUGGACGCAAGUCUGAUCCAGCCAUGCCGCGUGCGGGAAGAAGGCCUUCGGGUUGUAAACCGCUUUUGUCAGGGAAGAAAAGGGCGACUCUAAUACAGUUGCCUCAUGACGGUACCUGAAGAAUAAGCACCGGCUAACUACGUGCCAGCAGCCGCGGUAACAC
rnacentral:rRNA from 1 species